GAUUCCUACGGGAGGCAGCAGUGGGGAAUAUUGCACAAUGGGCGCAAGCCUGAUGCAGCCAUGCCGCGUGUGUGAAGAAGGCCUUCGGGUUGUAAAGCACUUUCAGUCGUGAGGAAGGUAGUGUAGUUAAUAGCUGCAUCAUUUGACGUUAGCGACAGAAGAA
rnacentral:rRNA from 1 species